rnacentral:lncRNA from 1 species
CCAGGCUGGGUGCAGCCUCGGAUCUGACUUCUCUCUAAUGUCUAAUGCCCAGGACUUCAAGCCUGGCCGGGGUCAAGGGCGGAGUCGGAGCUUAAGCUGUUUAGACCUUCCAGGGUCUUGGACCGGCAUUCCGGGAGGGAGUCGUACCACAGAGACGGCAGCCUAGAGCGGCCACUCCCGCCCCCAUUCCCCUCCACUCCGCCCCGCCGCCUCUAUCCCGGAAGUUGCUGCUAGGCGCUCGAAAGCGAGCACCUCAUCUCAGAGAUCUGGAGCGGCCGCGCUUGCGGAGCUGUCACCAUGCCUCUGGCUAGAGAUCUAUUACACCCUUCCUUGUUGCUACAAGAUUACUACAGUUUUCAGCCAUGCUCAGACAGUGGUUCUUUGUGUGGGUUGUUCAACCGUGCUGUGCCAGCCCACAGGAGGGAAAGCCAGGCUCACAGAAGGCUGUUCAUUUAGAAGAAAGCAACACUAAUCAUCUAUACAAGUUCCUGAAUUCGUGUUUUUCACAGAAAGCCUUAUCAACUUUAGUUACUCUACCAAGACAAUGUAAUUAUUGUUUGAUUUUAUAAAGUCUACAACAAUGAUCUCCUAUUUUGGUGUCAGUUUUUCAAUAAAGUUUUACUUAUGAACAAGUUC